rnacentral:rRNA from 1 species
CUACGGGUUGCAGCAGUGAGGAAUAUUGCACAAUGGGGGGAACCCUGAUGCAGCAACGCCGCGUGGAGGAUGACGCAUUUCGGUGUGUAAACUCCUUUUAUAUGUCAAGAAAAUGACGGUAGCAUAUGAAUAAGCACCGGCUAACUCCGUGCCAGCAGACGCGGUAAUACGGAGGGUGCAAGCGUUACUCGGAACCACUGGGCGUAAAGGACGCGUAGGCGGGUUGGAAAGUCAGGUGUGAAAUCCUACAGCUUAACUGUAGAACUGCACUUGAAACUUCUAAUCUAGAGUAUGGGAGGGGGAGAUGGAAUUAGUGGUGUAGGGGUAAAAUCCGUAGAUAUCACUAGGAAUACCUAAAGCGAAGGCGAUCUCCUGGAACAUUACUGACGCUAAGGCGUGAAAGCGUGGGGAGCAAACAGGAUUAGAUACCCGUGUAGUC